GUCAAAGUGGAGCUCAGAUGGAGCAGCUGAUCAAGACGACCAUGAGAAACAAGGAGGCGUCGGGUCAGAGGCAGUCGGUCUGUGUCCUGGGCCAUGAAGAGGAAGAAUUGCAUCUGGACUGUGGAGGGUGUUUGCAAAUUAAAGGCUUGAUUUUUACCCAGUGGCAGCUGUCUGCUUGUUGGCUUUGCUUAUUUUGCAAUGCACCAACUAAUUUCCAGGCUGUGCAGAGACUGUGCCAUGUUUAAUCUUGGUGACCGGCUCCACACUUUAGGUUAACAUUUCAACCUUAGGUAUAGGACUUUUCUUUGUUUAGAGCCAUCUGU